rnacentral:rRNA from 1 species
AACCAGAGAAUUGCACCCGAAACUGCAUGUCUUGAGUUCAGCAGAGGGAAUCGGAAUCCAAGGUGUAGCGGUGAAAUGCGUAGAUAUCUUGGAGAACAUCAGUGGCGAAGGCGGAUUCCUGGGUUGGUACUGACGCUGAGGUGCGAAAGCUAAGGUAGCGAACAGGAUUAGAUACCCUGGUAGUCCCAGCCGUAAACGGUGCACACUUGGUGUUGGAGGUAUUGACCCCUCCAGUGCCGGAGCUAACGCGUUAAGUGUGCCGCCUGGGGAGUACGGCCGCAAGGCUAAAACUCAAAGAAAUUGACGGGGGCCCGCACAAGCGGAGGAGCAUGUGGCUUAAUUCGAUGCAACGCGAAGAACCUUACCAGGGCUUGACAUGGCGACCCUUCGGGGGUGGUAGCGAAAGUUACCUUUACGAUCACAGGUGCUGCAUGGCUGUCGUCAGUUCGUGCCGUGAGGUGUUGGGUUAAGUCCCGCAACGAACGCAACCCUUGUGUUUAGUUGCCACCGCGGGUGUUAAACUCGCGAGCACUCUAGACAGACUGCCCGUACAAGCGGGAGGAAGGUGGGGACGACGUCAAGUCAGUAUGGCCCUUACGCUCUGGGCUGCACACGUGCUACAAUGGCUGGUACAGAGGGCUGCAAUACCGCGAGGUGGAGCCAAUCCCAAAAACCAGCGUGAGUUCGGAUUGGAGUCUGCAACUCGACUCCAUGAACGUUGAAUUGCUAGUAAUCGCGGAUCAGCAUGCCGCGGUGAAUACGUUCCCGGGUCUUGUACACACCGCCCGUCAAGCUAGGAAAGCCGGAGAUACCUGAAGUCGUGGAUCCAACCCGCAAGGGAGGAUAGCGCCGAGGGUAGGGCUGGCGAUUCGAGCUAAGUCGUAACAAGGUAGCCGUACCGGAAGGUGCGGCUG